rnacentral:rRNA from 1 species
UGGGGAAUAUUGGACAAUGGGCGCAAGCCUGAUCCAGCAAUGCCGCGUGAGUGAUGAAGGCCUUAGGGUUGUAAAGCUCUUUCGCACGCGACGAUGAUGACGGUAGCGUGAGAAGAAGCCCCGGCUAACUUCGUGCCAGCAGCCGCGGUAAUACGAAGGGGGCUAGCGUUGUUCGGAAUUACUGGGCGUAAAGGGCGCGUAGGCGGCCUGUUUGGUCAGAAGUGAAAGCCCCGGGCUCAACCUGGGAAUAGCUUUUGAUACUGGCAGGCUUGAGUUCCGGAGAGGAUGGUGGAAUUCCCAGUGUAGAGGUGAAAUUCGUAGAUAUUGGGAAGAACACCGGUGGCGAAGGCGGCCAUCUGGACGGACACUGACGCUGAGGCGCGAAAGCGUGGGGAGCAAACAGGAUUAGAUACCCUGGUAGUCCACGCCGUAAAACGAUGAAUGCUAGACGUCGGGGUGCAUGCACUUCGGUGUCGCCGCUAACGCAUUAAGCAUUCCGCCUGGGAGUACGGCCGCAAGGUUAAAACUCAAAUGAAUUGACGGGGUCAUAGCUGUUUCCU